rnacentral:pre_miRNA from 1 species
AGCCUAACAUGAAGAAAGAACCUUGUUUGAUAGCCAAGGAUGACUUGCCUUGCUUUUAAAGAAAGGUCUCUCAACUUUAGCUUAGCUACAUAUAUAGCUAGUAUCCUUGUGCAGGUUCCAAGGCAAGUCGUCUUUGGCUAUUUUGACAGGCUCUUAUUAUUCAUGCUAGACUU